UAACAGCUCAAAUUUGAAAUCUGGCUCCGACGGAGUCCGAGUUGUAAUUUGUGCUCUGCUUUGGGUUGCAGAUUCGGCCUAAGUUCCUUGGAACAGGACGUCAUAGAGGGUGAGAAUCCCGUAUGCGGCCGAGGUUUGCGCCCGUGUAAAGCUCUUUCGACGAGUCGAGUUGUUUGGGAAUGCAGCUCAAAAUGGGUGGUAAAUUUCAAAAAAGCUAAAUAUGGGCCAGAGACCGAUAGCGAACAAGUAGAGUGAUCGAAAGAUGAAAAGCACUUUGGAAAGAGAGUUAAACAGUACGUGAAAUUGUUGAAAGGGAAGCGCUUGCAACUUACAGACUUGGGCACUGUUGAUCAUCUAGAGUUUUCUCUGGUGCAUCCGACAGCGCACAGGCUAGCAUCGGUUCGGGUGGCUGGAUAAAGGCCGUAGGAACGUAGCUCCUCUUGGGGAGUGUUAUAGCUUACGGUGCCAUGCAGCCCAGCCGGAACGGACCGCGCCUUCGGGCUAGGAUGCUGGCGUAAUGGUUGUAAGCGACCCG
rnacentral:rRNA from 1 species